rnacentral:tRNA from 1 species
UGGGGGGGGCCAGAGAGGUCGAAUGGGGCCGCCUGCUAAGCGGUUGCCGUGAUAAACCGGUCGCGGUCUGGAAUCCCAUCCUCCCGG